AUCCUCGUGCUCCCGGCCUUGUAGCGGUGCCGUGGCGGGGCGUGUAGGCGUUGACAUCACUCACGGUCAUCGGCACUGCCCAUACACUCAGUCCACCCUGGCGGGGACCUCACCAAUGACCUCCAUGAAAACAGGGUCCCAGACAAGCCAGUUGGUCUGAAGGCCGUGGCGCUGACUGACCACAUCAGGGUGUGCUGGCAGCCCCCCGCACAGCACAAUGUGCUGCUGUGCGGCUACACCAUUGCCUGGGACCGAGGCGUGGCGGACAUCUACUCCAAGAUCGUGGACAGCAAGCAGCACGGUUACAUCAUUGAUAAGCUGGAACCCAACAUGGAGUUUGUGAUAAGCCUGCGAGCCUUCAACAACGUGGGUGACGGGCAGCCGGUGUACCAGCAAGUCCGCACCCAGCCUGAGGAGGAGGAGGUGGUGGCACCCACGCUGGACCCGGCGGUGUGGGUGAAGGCCGUGGUGCUGACACCCUUCACCGUGGUGCUGCAGUGGGCGGACACCAUGCUGAGCCAGAACCAGUACAACAGCUGCACCACCUUCUCGUCCUCAUCCUCCAGCCGCUACGUCAACGCCACGGAUGUGACCUGCCUCAUUGACAGCCUCAAGCCAUCAACAGUGUGUGAGUUUGCUGUGAAGACCAUCAGGGUGAGACCACAGUGCUGGAAGCCUUCGUUCUUCUUUCAGUAAAUAUUCACUCAGUCCUGCAACACUUCUCAAGGAAAUCCUGCACAGCUGAAUCCUUGCUGUGAUGAGGCACAGAGAAAUUAUGACUCAUAGGGCAACUCUAUCUGUCCUAAACCUGCUCCUGUACCAACUACAAACAAGUACUGAACAAGUAUGUAUCUGGAUCCUUGACUGUGCUCAGACUUACAGGCCUAAACUUAAACUUAAAGUAACCUAUGGAAACUUAUGAAUCACUCA